rnacentral:rRNA from 1 species
AGUGAACGCUGGCGGUAGGCCUAACACAUGCAAGUCGAACGGCAGCACAGUAAGAGCUUGCUCUUACGGGUGGCGAGUGGCGGACGGGUGAGGAAUACAUCGGAAUCUACUUUUUCGUGGGGGAUAACGUAGGGAAACUUACGCUAAUACCGCAUACGACCUACGGGUGAAAGCAGGGGAUCUUCGGACCUUGCGCGAUUGAAUGAGCCGAUGUCGGAUUAGCUAGUUGGCGGGGUAAAGGCCCACCAAGGCGACGAUCCGUAGCUGAUCUGAGAGGAUGAUCGGCCACACUGGAACUGAGACACGGUCCAGACUCCUACGGGAGGCAGCAGUGGGGAAUAUUGGACAAUGGGCGCAAGCCUGAUCCAGCCAUACCGCGUGGGUGAAGAAGGCCUUCGGGUUGUAAAGCCCUGUUGUUAGGAAAGAAAAGCAGCAUGUUAAUACCCCGCUGUUCUGACGGUACCCAAAGAAUAAGCACCGGCUAACUUCGUG